CUUGACUCUGAUCCAAAAGGUCACACCCUUGGCCGUUGAGGCUUUAGAUGGGAGACCACUUGAUAAACCUCUGGUGACCCAUGAAACCCAAGAAAUGGUUAUGGCCGUGGGUGCCUUACACAAGGAAAGGUUAACCUUCCAAAUAAUUGACUCCCCUACAGCUUCCAUCAUUCUGGGCUUUCCCUGGUUAGUUAAACACAACCCGGUGCUUGAUUGGGG